ACGGCGUGUUUUUGGCCAAACUUCUUGAACACGAAAUUGGCGGAGUCUUGAUGGACAGAACGUUCGGAGGCCAUGCACAAUUAAAUCGAAACCCUGAUCGACUCCGACAAUAGCGACUGUUUUAAGCAAGGUUUUGUCGUUCUUCUUCUCCGCUCGUCGUAUAAACAACUACGGAUCCGCUUGAGCUCAUCUUCCAUGCUAUUGUUCAAUGAAGUAUCGGAAGAAGACGUGGUAUAUGAUAAAGUGCAGAUUGCGAAUUGGAUCAAGGGAAAAGAAAGCUAACUGUAUUUGAAUUCUGACACGGAGAAUCUCCGGUGAAUUGACAUAAUGAAAGAUGGUUCCUGAGUUCUUCCGGUGCAUUGUGUUGUGCGUUUCGACGCGUUGUGAUGACGAGUAGAGAUGGAGGCACGCGUUAUAUAUUGCGACAAAGACGCUGCGGCAUCCGCGGUUACGAAUCGAACGAGAUAAUGAUGAAGCCUCUGUUUGCGCCGAUGCGACUCGCGUCUUCCAGGAUGUUGUGAAUCGUUCGUAGUUUCGGAAGCGUGUUGGUCUUGUUGUGAUUCGGUUAUGGAGAGGGAGCGAGUUAUGGAGGAGAUUCUGUUAGGCGCGUGAUUGAAGGAGUUUGAGUGGAGGACGGUUAGAAGCGUUGAGGGAGAAGGAUGAAGAUUGAAGAAUUUCGUUGAAGGCAAUGAGAAAUGGGGUCUGGGAUUGAUGAUGGAUGGAGAAGAUGGAAGAAGAUCAAGCCCAAAAAAAUCUGAACUGUAAAGGAUUGUGACUUGCAAAAUUGGACAAGGUUCUCAUGUUGAUUAGUUUUGUUGGCUGUGAAUUAAGUGAGUGAAAUUCUGCAGGUUUUAUGUCAAUGUGUAGGUGAACAUCUUGUUGCUUGGGCUUAGUGGUCCUGUGUUAGAAUUAUGCAGGGGAAAUUCCUUCAGUUGUACAGGUCCUGGCCGGAUUUCACAAGAGAUGGUGGAUUUUACUUGUGUAUACAAAUGGUCUGUUAGAAUCAUUAGGAGUUAAUGAACAUAGGUUAUGGUUAAUGGAUGUAGUUAAUGGUUAAUGGAUAUUUGGUUGUUAACAAUGGAUAUUGGACUUUAAAUGG